AGACGUUUGCUCUUCCGAUCUCGUCUCUAGCCACUCUUCAUCCGUUCAUCUCGGACCCUCUCGUAAUUUCAUCUGUGUAAAGGGCUCAUCCGCUCUCCCUUCUCGCCAUCGCGCACAUGCAAUCCACAAUUGUCUGCUAUAAGUACAGCCAGGAAAGAUGGUAUAUAUAAGUUGAACAAUAUAUAUCAAGUAUAUAUCCUAUCAGGAUUAAUGUAUGGCUGAGUAAAUUUUGAAUAUAAACGUAUCUACGUUACAUUAUUAUACGUAAGCAAACUUGCAUGACCUGUAAAGAUAGUUGUAUUUAUAAUAUUUAUGAAGAUAGUUUGAUAGAGAUGUUAAAUAAUGGAAACGUGGACUUAAAAUGUUGACCAAUGAUUUAUACAUUAGAGUUUAAUUUAAAAGAUAAUUUGUGAUACUGAUGUACAUUUUUCAGAGAAAAUUCAAUAUCUAAAUCUUAUAUUUUUAAUGUUUAUUAAAAAUGAUAAACUUGUACAUUUAAUAGGUGUAUAAAUUAAGGAUUUAAUAAGAUGAAAUUCAUUAUUACUGAUAAUAAAGGAGUAUUGAAAGAGAUGACUAAUUUUGGGGAUAAUAUAAGUUGUGUAAAAAGUCGAUAAAAGUAAUAAAAAUCGAAUAAUCUCCAA